rnacentral:misc_RNA from 1 species
GUGGUUUCAUAGUUUCAUGUUCAAGAAUGCCAGUAGUUAUAAAGUUCGUUAACAAGGUUUGAGAAGCGAUAUGUAGUAAAGCUUUAAAGCGCUGACGUAGAAGAAACUUACAAAGGUUGCUGCGGUCUCUUUAUAUGAUUCAGGUGUUGAUUUAAGGUUUUCUUUGAGCACUUUUUUUUGAAAACUUGAUUGUUAAUUUUC